rnacentral:rRNA from 1 species
GUGGGGAAUAUUGGACAAUGGGGGGAACCCUGAUCCAGCCAUGCCGCGUGUGUGAAGAAGGCCUUUUGGUUGUAAAGCACUUUAAGCGAGGAGGAGGCUACCGAGAUUAAUACUCUUGGAUAGUGGACGUUACUCGCAGAAUAAGCACCGGCUAACUCUGUGCCAGCAGCCGCGGUAAUACAGAGGGUGCAAGCGUUAAUCGGAUUUACUGGGCGUAAAGCGCGCGUAGGCGGCUUUUUAAGUCGGAUGUGAAAUCCCUGAGCUUAACUUAGGAAUUGCAUUCGAUACUGGAAAGCUAGAGUAUGGGAGAGGAUGGUAGAAUUCCAGGUGUAGCGGUGAAAUGCGUAGAGAUCUGGAGGAAAACCGAUGGCGAAGGCAGCCAUCUGGCCUAAUACUGACACUGAGGUGCGAAAGCAUGGGGAGCAAACAGGAUUAGAUACCCCAGUAGUCC